UAGGGAAUCUUUUGGCAAUGGACGGAAGUCUGACCGAGCAACGCCGCGUGAGCGAAGAAGGUUUUCGGAUCGUAAAGCUCUGUUGUUAGAGAAGAACGUUGGUAGGAGUGGAAAAUCUACCAAGUGACGGUAACUAACCAGAAAGGGACGGCUAACUACGUGCCAGCAGCCGCGGUAAUACGUAGGUCCCGAGCGUUGUCCGGAUUUAUUGGGCGUAAAGCGAGCGCAGGCGGUUCUUUAAGUCUGAAGUUAAAGGCAGUGGCUUAACCAUUGUACGCUUUGGAAACUGGAGGACUUGAGUGCAGAAGGGGAGAGUGGAAUUCCAUGUGUAGCGGUGAAAUGCGUAGAUAUAUGGAGGAACACCGGUGGCGAAAGCGGCUCUCUGGUCUGUAACUGACGCUGAGGCUCGAAAGCGUGGGGAGCAAACAGGAUUAGAUACCCUGGUAGUCCACGCCGUAAACGAUGAGUGCUAGGUGUUAGGCCCUUUCCGGGGCUUAGUGCCGCAGCUAACGCAUUAAGCACUCCGCCUGGGGAGUACGACCGCAAGGUUG
rnacentral:rRNA from 1 species